ACCAAACGAAAACAGAGGAGAUAGAACAGAGAAAAACAUAGAGAAAACCAGGGGGGAGAACACAGAGACGAAGGAGAAGAAGAGGAUAGACACGAAACGAACAAAAGGGAGAACCAGAAACGAAACAAGAACAACGAACACAAAAAUAAAAAAAAAACCAGAGAAACCAGAGAGAAGGACGACCUGAGAGAAACGAAAACAGGAGCAGAGGGGGAAUAAAGUAGCUUUGGUCAGCCAGCACACCGUCGCCAUCGUCUUCGUCCCCAAGCAGCUCCAGGUACGCAAGUUCUACAAUUCCCUCCCAUUUGCAUUUUAAUUAAAUAGGCACUGUGCAUCUUCAAUUAUAAUUAACUCAUUCCUGUAGCAAGCGUGCGUGAACAUUUCACAGGUGUAAGAAUGACAAGCGGUACAGGGGUAGAAGCUGAGCAAUACCUUGAAUUUAGUCUUCAAGGCUGCAAGAGGGAUGAAUAUGAGGAGUCGGUUGGGGUGUGAAUUUCCUUGGAAAAGGAGUCGUAGUUUUCAGAAUAAUGAGAAAGGCAUUGGAGAAAACUUUUAUGAUCAGUGUGAGCUGCAUUUGUAAAUGGGAUUGAAAAAAGAAAGAAAAAUAUUAGAACCGAUAGUAUCAUUGAAGAAAUGCUA